rnacentral:rRNA from 1 species
CCUACGGGUGGCAGCAGUAGGGAAUAGUGCUCAAUGGGGGAAACCCUGAAGCAGCAACGCCGCGUGGAGGAUGAAGGUUUUAGGAUUGGAAACUCCUUUUGUUAGAGAAGAGGAGGACGGUAGCUAACGAAUAAGCACCGGCGAACGCCGUGCCAGCAGCCGCGGUAAUACGGAGGGUGCAAGCGUUACUCGGAAUCACUGGGCGUAAAGAGUGCGUAGGCGGGGUAAUAAGUCAGAUUUGAAAUCCUGUAGCUUAACUACAGAACUGCAUUUGAAACUGUUACUCUGGAGUGUGGGAGCGUUCGGUGGACUUCUUGGUGUCGCGGUUCAAUCCUUAGAGUUCACG